ensembl:lncRNA
CGAUCGAGCACCAAUGCACUGGCCAUCCCUGCUCCCGGCUCAAGGAACCAUGUCUCCAAUAUGGUGUCCUAAAAAGGAUUGUGUUGGCAUCCUGGGCAUGAGACUUCCAUUGUGAUGAACCCGAGAUGAGAGGGGGGGGGGGGGGGGCGGCAGGAGAAAGGGGUAAGAAAGAGAAAGAGUGUGUGAGAGAGAGAGAGAGAGAGAGAGAGAGAGAGAGAGAGAGAAAGAGGGAGGGAGGGUGGAGUUUGGAGUUUAGGGUUAGGGUGUGGGGAAAGACUAGGCCCGGCUAUGCCGGAACCUAAGUGCACGGUCCAUCCAUGGGACUGGUAUUGGUGCCCCCUGAUCAAAAAAUUACCCUAAGCGGGUGUAGUGCACUGUGGUGGGCCUUCGCGACGUUUCGGCUUCUCUGAGCCUUCUUCAGGCUGGCCCACCCGCUUUUGUGUUCUGUUUCGCCACUCUGGGCCUUUUAUACUUUUCUUUUUCCUUUUCGUUUUUCUUAACUUUUUCUGUUUCUUAGUUUUUUCUUGUUCUCAGCUUUGGCUGCUUACUCUCCCUUUUUCUAUCUUUUUCUGUUGUUCUUUAUCUUUCUGUUUUUCUUUAUCCUUCCCUUUGUAUUUCUGUUAUUCUUUAUUCUUGUUCUUUAUUCUUUCUGUUUUUCUUUAUCUUUCCCUUUGUAUUCUGUUGUUCUUUAUUCUUUCUGUUCUUUAUUAUUCCUCUUAAUUUCUCUUGUGUUCUUUCUUUUAUUCUUUCUCAUAUUUCUUUAAAUGGCACCCCCUUCUCUUUAGACAUCCCGUCCGUGGUCUAUAUUUUUCUUUUAUGGCACCCCCUUCCUGUAAAUCCUUUCCUUUUGUACUUUGUCUUUUUUCUGACCUUUCUUGUCUUUUUUUCUCUUAGCUUAGGCUUUUAAAGUUCCCUUAGAGUUAGGGCUAGAGGGGGAGGGGGGAGGGGGGCAAAGGGGUUAGGGUUAGGAUAAGGUAGUGGGUGGGGGGCUCCCCACAAUGAGGGAGAGAGGAAAUGGGCAGGGGCACCACCAAUCCCAGGAGGCACAGGCUGGUUAGGGUGUGGGGAAAGACUAGGCCCGGGUUAGGGUUAGGGGGGUUAGGGGUUAGGGUUAGGUUAGGGGCCUAUUGAUCUUGUACAGUCACUAUUGUGAGUCCGGUGCACUGGCAACAGCUGCCUGGUCACUGUCACUCAUGUCUCACCCCUUGUGGCAAACCAGUCUAUUAUCACUCUCAUUAGAAGAAAAAAAAUUCAAUUGAAGACACAAUAUUCUUUUUUUUUUUUUUUUUUUUUUUUUUUUUUUUUUUUUUUUUUUUUUGCCCCAGCAUGUACCUCUCCAACUUUUAUUGUCAUGUCAAGAGUCUCACAAAGCAGCAAUAAUUGUCAAUACAAUUGAAAGGGAGCAAUUCAGACUGCGUUCAGGCCCCGUGGAUGUUGAGUUCGCAGUCUGGAAAUCCACAAUCUCUCAUAUCUCCUCCUCUGGCCCUCCGUCCAUGUCGCACAGGUUUGAAGUCCCGUUAUACUGAGAUGUUGUAAUGUGUGAAUUUGGAAGUGCAAUACUAGUGGAGUGUCCAGUCCAUUCCUCUCAAUAUUGUAAAUAUGUUGUUUUAACCUCUCCAACAGAGUUUGACCUGUUUCACCCACAUAGAGUAGACCACAUUCUUCGCAACAGAUGCAAUAAACGAUGUUGCUCGUGUUUAGGGACAUUCUCUGUAAGAUGGGUGCCCCUAUUUUCCCAUAAGGAUUAUACAAGAACCGUUUCGGUUGAAAGGCCCAAUGAUUGGGUUUCCCCGAUCUUAUACGUCUCAUCUGUUCUGGCAACUUGGCCCUGACGAGCAUAUCUCUCAGAUUCUUGUUCCUCCUGUGGGCUGAAAUCACUCUGCAGUCUUGGAGUCGUAUCAAACCAGAGGUGUAUUUCUUAAAGUUUGUUUUGAGUUGAUGAUGCAAUGGUAGGUGAGAACGCGAGUAAGUGGUAACUAAUGGCAUAAGUCUAUUCUGUUCUCCCUGUUGUAUCUGAUUUUGAGUCUGAUUUCCCCUCAUUGCAUUAGAGUUUAGUCCAGCAAGGGUGCUGCUCUUAAUUGUUCUAAGGAACCUACUAGAAUAUCCCCUCUUCCUGAGGCUCCGGAAUAAUAUGCCAAUUGCAUCCUGAAGAUCUGAUUCCUUUGAAGAAAUUCUAUAGAACCUGAUGAUUUGGGACUUUAUGAUAC